AUUCCAGCUCCAGUAGCGUAUAUUAAAGUUGUUGCAGUUAAAAAGCUCGUAGUUGGAUUUCUGACUUCAGAUACCUGACCCUCCCUCGCUAGAGGUGUGUGUGCCGGAGUAUUUGUAUCAUCCUUUCAGUGAUCGGCUCUACCCUUAACCGGGUCGGAGCUGCUAGCUGGAUCUUUUACUUUGAAGAAAUUGGAGUGUUUAAAGCAGGCUUACGCCAGAACAUAUUAGCAUGGAAUAAUAAUUUAGGACUUUUGUUCUAUUUUGUUGGUUUCUAGGACGAAAGUAAUGAUUGAUAGGGAUAGUUGGGGGUGCUAGUAUUCGGCGGCCAGAGGUGAAAUUCUUUGAUCCGCUGAAGACUAACUUAUGCGAAAGCAUUCACCAAGGAUGUCUUCAUCG
rnacentral:rRNA from 1 species